UCCCGCUUAGCUCAGUGGUAGAGCGCAUCACUAGUAUUGCGUAAGCAUGACGUAAUGAUGAGGUCAAUAGUUCAAGUCUGUUAGUGGGAA